rnacentral:misc_RNA from 1 species
UCUCCGUUGGUGAACCAGCGGAGGGAUCAUUACCGAGUUUACAACUCCCAAACCCAAUGUGAACCAUACCAAACUGUUGCCUCGGCGGGGUCACGCCCCGGGUGCGUCGCAGCCCCGGAACCAGGCGCCCGCCGGAGGGACCAACCAAACUCUUUCUGUAGUCCCCUCGCGGACGUUAUUUUUACAGCUCUGAGCAAAAAUUCAAAAUGAAUUAAAACUUUCAACAACGGAUCUCUUGGUUCUG